rnacentral:rRNA from 1 species
UACGUAGGUGGCAAGCGUUGUCCGGAAUUAUUGGGCGUAAAGCGCGCGCAGGCGGUCCUUUAAGUCUGAUGUGAAAUCACGUGGCUCAACCACGUGCGGUCAUUGGAAACUGGAGGACUUGAGUGCAGAAGAGGAAAGUGGAAUUCCAAGUGUAGCGGUGAAAUGCGCAGAUAUCAGGAGGAACACCGGUGGCGAAGGCGGGUCUCUGGGCCGAUACUGACGCUGAGGAGCGAAAGCGUGGGGAGCGAACAGG